rnacentral:tRNA from 1 species
GCUAAGAUAGCUCAGUAGGUAGAGCAGUGGAUUGAAGCUCCUCGUGUCACCAGUUCAAUUCUGGUUCUUAGCA